rnacentral:rRNA from 1 species
AUCUGGUUGAUCCUGCCAGACCUGACUGCUAUCGGAUUGAUACUAAGCCAUGCGAGUCAUUGUAGCAAUACAAGGCAGACGGCUCAGUAACGCGUAGUCAACCUAACCUAUGGACGGGAAUAACCUCGGGAAACUGAGAAUAAUGCCCGAUAGAACACUAUACCUGGAAUGGUUUGUGUUCCAAAUGAUUUAUCGCCGUAGGAUGGGACUGCGGCCUAUCAGUUUGUUGGUGAGGUAAUGGCCCACCAAGACUAUUACAGCUACGGGCUCUGAGAGGAGUAGCCCGGAGAUGGGUACUGAGACACGGACCCAGGCCCUAUGGGGCGCAGCAGGCGAGAAAACUUUGCAAUGUGCGAAAGCACGACAAGGUUAAUCCGAGUGGUUUCUGCUAAAGGAACCUUUUGUUAGUCCUAGAAACACUAACGAAUAAGGGGUGGGCAAGUUCUGGUGUCAGCCGCCGCGGUAAAACCAGCACCUCAAGUGGUCAGGAUGAUUAUUGGGCCUAAAGCAUCCGUAGCCGGCUCUGUAAGUUUUCGGUUAAAUCUGUACGCUCAACGUACAGGCCGCCGGGAAUACUGCAGAGCUAG